UACGUAGGUGGCAAGCGUUGUCCGGAAUUAUUGGGCGUAAAGCGCGCGCAGGCGGUUCUUUAAGUCUGAUGUGAAAGCCCACGGCUCAACCGUGGAGGGUCAUUGGAAACUGGGGAACUUGAGUACAGAAGAGGAAAGCGGAAUUCCACGUGUAGCGGUGAAAUGCGUAGAGAUGUGGAGGAACACCAGUGGCGAAGGCGGCUUUCUGGUCUGUAACUGACGCUGAGGCGCGAAAGUGUGGGGAGCAAACAGG
rnacentral:rRNA from 1 species